CGCUUCUCCUCUGAGAUAAGAUGGAGACACUUUCAAGCUCUGGUUUAAAAUCAUCAAAAACAGAGUCUCCUGCUGGAGAUAAGAUACAUGUUGGUGUGGAGCAUCUGGGAGCCGUAAAGAUUAUUGCCGAAACCAAGAUUGUGAUUGCUUAGCCUUUUGGAGCCUGCUUCCCCAUGAAUAAAAUGAAGACAAGGUUUCUUAUCUUCUAGAAGUAUCAUCAUUUGGAUGAGAUUUGUGUAUAGAUCACCAGGAACAUGCCUCGUCUGGCCAAGAGAGGCGCAGGUGGAGGCCAGCCAAAGGCAGUCUCCCUAGGAACUGUGGUCUGGAGAAGUGGCCGUCUUGUGCAUCGGAUCUACCCUCCUCCCUGGCCUGCCUCCUACCCCCAGGCCUGCGUGAGCUUCCGGGAACUUCGAUGCGAUCUUGGAGGAAGAGUGGGAAUUAAUGGUGAAAAGGUUUCAACUUGGCGGGAUGACACCAGGAAAAUAAAGAAGUCAUAUUUCUUGUGCU